UAGCGAACAAGUACCGUGAGGGAAAGGUGAAAAGCACCCCGAUGAGGGGAGUGAAAGAGACCUGAAACCGAACACCUACAAGCAGUCGGAGCCUCCUUGCGGGGUGACGGCGUACCUUUUGUAUAAUGGGUCAGCGACUUACAUUCAGUGGCGAGGUUAACCGAAUAGGGUAGCCGUAGAGAAAUCGAGUCCGAACAGGGCGACAGUCGCUGGGUGUAGACCCGAAACCAAGUGAUCUACCCAUGGCCAGGAUGAAGGUGCGGUAACACGCCCUGGAGGUCCGAACCCACUAAUGUUGAAAAAUUAGGGGAUGAGCUGUGGGUAGGGGUGAAAGGCUAAACAAACUUGGAAAUAGCUGGUUCUCUCCGAAAACUAUUUAGGUAGUGCCUCGUGUCUCACCUUCGGGGGUAGAGCACUGUCAUGGUUGGGGGGUCUAUUGCUGAUUACCCCGCCAUAGCAAACUCCGAAUACCGAAGAGUGCAAUCACGGGAGACAGACAUCGGGUGCUAACGUCCGGUGUCAAGAGGGAAACAACCCAGACCGCCAGCUAAGGUCCC
rnacentral:rRNA from 1 species